GUUACAUUUGUGUUUUAACAUUUGAUAGCAAUACAAUGCUUACAGCAGAGUUGUUUUUGCGUUUGAAUCUUAAAGAUAUGUAACUAUAAAUAUCUUUCUUAAUAGUUCAAUGAUUGAUGUCCAAAUCAAUUGAAAACAAUUAUAAAGAAUUAGGUAGAUGGUAAAGAGUAAAGCACCCUGCAGUCUGCAUUGCUCUAAACCAGGAAAGGGAUUUCAAUUGGAUUAAUAUGCAUGUUGCAGGAGGUGCAAGAAUACAAAGAGGAAAGCUUUAAGACAAAUAGCUCAAACUCAACAACAAAAGUAAGAUGGAAUCCAAAAUUUCUCUCUGAUGUUUUCUUUUAGAAUGUAUGGAAUUAUUAUGUUGUACAUUGAGGACAUUUUUAUUGUAUUAUGAAGUAACUAUUCAAUUUAUUUGUUUUUAUUGUCUGCAAAAAAAAUUGUCUAACAGUAUAUGGAGUUAUGGUAUUUUUUGUGGUGUUAAAGUGAUAGAAUGACUUUGUAUAUAUGAAAGUAGAGACUUCAUCUU